GACCUGUUAGCGCAGUCGGAAGCACGCCCGUGUGAUAGAAUCGACGUUUCUCUCAGCUUGUGCGGGAAGCCCCGGUUCGAACCCGGGACAGGUCA